rnacentral:rRNA from 1 species
UUAUUAAAAAAUUUGCAUAUCAAUAAGCGGAGGAAAAGAAACCAACAGGGAUUGCCUCAGUAACGGCGAGUGAAGCGGCAAAAGCUCAAAUUUGAAAUCCCCCCGGGGAGUUGUAAUUUGAAGAUUGCGUCUUGGAGGCGACCGUGUCUAUGUUCCUUGGAACAGGACGUCACAGAGGGUGAGAAUCCCGUGCGGCACGGCCCCCGGCUCCUUAUAAGGCGCUCUCGACGAGUCGAGUUGUUUGGGAAUGCAGCUCAAAGUGGGUGGUAAAUUCCAUCUAAAGCUAAAUACAGGCGAGAGACCGAUAGCGAACAAGUACAGUGAUGGAAAGAUGAAAAGCACUUUGAAAAGAGAGUGAAACAGCACGUGAAAUUGUUGAAAGGGAAGGGCAUGCCGUCAGAUUGUCAGUGUGGGUAAGAAGCGGGGUACAAAGACUGUGGAACGUGGCCCUCGGGUGUUAUAGCCGCAGUUCAUGCCCCGUCUCUUUCCGAGGCCUGCUUUGAGGACACCGACGUAAUGACGGUACGCCGCCCGUCUUGAAACACGGACCAUUGCGUUGUUUUAUU